GAAAUCGACGGUUCAAAAAUCGAUUGGGCCAAAAUUAAUUUUCAAGCGACUUACAUGUAACUAAAAUGAACAGAUUAACCGAAUGAUAGCACACCCGACAACGCACGAACUGGAUCAAGCCCGUGUCGUGGCAGAGCCAUAUGCGGUAUGCACAUUUAGCAACACCAAAAAUGUUGAAUCAAAAAGUGAACAACUAGAGUCGAAACGAACCUUCCGUGCCUCCCGAGUCGCUUCGCUCGGGCGACUCCGAAGGCGACCAACUCCUAGCCAACAAACCUAGCGUCAGAUCUCAUCUCGCCGCCACCGUCGGCCGUGGCCGGCGGCGGUGGCAGUACCCUUUCAUCAAAGGCGAAGGGAGUGGAGGGUACACCUUGGCUACGUCCUUCAUGAGCGAGGAGGCGACUCCUGCAGGUGUGCGACUAGCCACGACGGCGGCGGAUCAUGGCGUUGUGGUGCUAGGAAGCUAGCUGCGGCUGUGCGUGCUGUACUGCACCAGGCCGUGCUUGGUGGUGCUAGGCCUCAGGCGCUUGGCCUGUGUUUAGUCUGGCCGGGCUUUGCCUUCAGAUCUGACGGUUGAAGGCUUGUUGGCUUCUUGGAUGGUAGCCGGAUGUUGACGGAGUGCGUAUCGGCUCAUCCCAGCGACCAGCGGCUGUGCCGUCCAUGGCGGUGUUCUGGCUCGGGCGGCUAAGGACCAUGGCUUGGUGGUGAUGAUACGGAUUUGAUCGGCUGGAGGGUGGCGACUGCAACUAUAUUGCAACGACUUCCUACAAUUCCUCGGCGACGGUGGUCAUCGAGAGGUCUUUCAGAGGGUUCAUCUCCUCUUGAACCGGUGGUUGACUUUGACGGUGAGAUACAAAUUAUGGAUGAAGACUUGACGCAAAGGGAUGGUGGUGCAGUGGCGGUGAUCGCAUCACAUGCAGCUGCUGGGAUUGUGGAAACGUGGUAACGACAACAUAUGAGAGACUUCGAUUGUCGUGCUACUCAAGAACCCAGUCUCGAGCUCUAAGGCGAAAGCCUAGGUGACGGCGACGCUUGAGUGUCGCUCCCUUUCUGAAGGCGUUGUUGUUGAAGACUUCAUCGUCCAUGUGGUGUCAUGAGAUGGUUGGUGCAGAUACGAUCUUCACCGUAGUUUACCGAUGACAGAUCUUAUCGCUUAGGGCUUUUUUUCUUGUUUUUAUCCGUAUAGACAUAGCUUUGGUUUUAUAUGACUUUACUAUUUAUCGGCGUAUUUUUUACGUGUGUGUUAGUUUGUGUUGGCUGUGUGCAUCCUAGUUAUGCAGAGGACGGAUGUGUGCUCAUGUGUUAUAUAUCUUUUUGAUGCUC